GCAACCUGCAGGGAACCUAUCCCCGCUCCCUGUGGAGGCUACAGAGUCUGAGGAGGUUCCUCCUUCUGAACCACACAGUGAUGCCGGGGCUGCUGGCUGUGGGGAGUCUGGGGAUGUUCCUUAUCCUCCGCUUCUUGCUGUCCUGGAUGGUCAAGUUCAUCUCGGCCACGGCAUAACUCUGGCGGAGG